rnacentral:rRNA from 1 species
UGGGGAAUAUUGCACAAUGGAGGGAACUCUGAUGCAGCGAUGCCGCGUGAGGGAAGAAGGUUUUCGGAUUGUAAACCUCUGUCUUGAGGGACGAUAAUGACGGUACCUCAGGAGGAAGCUCCGGCUAACUACGUGCCAGCAGCCGCGGUAAUACGUAGGGAGCGAGCGUUGUCCGGAAUUACUGGGUGUAAAGGGAGUGUAGGCGGGAUGGCAAGUUAGGUGUGAAAUGCGGAGGCUCAACCUCCGAGCUGCACUUAAAACUGCUGUUCUUGAGUGAAGUAGAGGUUGGCGGAAUUCCCAGUGUAGCGGUGAAAUGCGUAGAUAUUGGGAGGAACAUCAGUGGCGAAGGCGGCCAACUGGGCUUUUACUGACGCUGAGGCUCGAAAGCGUGGGGAGCAAACAGGA